GGGCUAAAUGUCUUCUAUCUGUGUAUCUUUUGUUUAUCUCUAGCGCCCUCUGUUGUUCCAACAGGUGUGAUACAUUUAGCCCAGCAAGGCUUCGCAGUGCACUGUUCCACUGUGCAGAGCUGUGCUGCAGUUUAUGAGGGAGGUCUGAAUGUGGUUGUGUGGAAGGGGGAUGCAGGGAGGCUGACUGUUCUGGUGGAGGUCCCUCAGAGCUUCUACAACCGCACUGUGGGCCUUCUGGGCCUCUGGAGCACCAAUACUACUGAUGACUUCCUCCUCUCCAAUGGGCGCCUGCUGUCUUCAUCUGACAACAACCCUCCCUCUGAAGACAAGCUGGCAGUGUUUGGACAAUCAUGGGCAGUCCCUGUUCCGGAGAGUCUCCUGUUCUUCACUCCUCCCCUGACACCCUUCCAGCCUUUGAGCACAGAGGAACUGAUGUCUUCGGUUAGCCCAGUCGCUUUGGCCAGACUUCAGCAGACCUGCCAGGGCAGCCUGCAGUGUAUACUUGACAUCCUGGCCACAGAUAAUACUGGACUGGGUCAGCAGACUUUGCAGGACCAACAGAAAGUCCAAAACCUCGCUGUAACCUUUGGUGAGAGAGGCCUCUUGACCCUAAACAAUGAAGUGCUUCUGACCAAGUAUGGUACCGACGGUUUCAUCUGGAUCUCAUGAUUUAAUUCCUUU
ensembl:lncRNA